GGUUACAAAUCUGGCUGUCGAGAUGCCUAAAAAGCAUUUCAUAGCAAGGGCCGGGCAAGACCGGUGCCAGCCGCCGCGGUAACACCGGCGGCUCGAGUGGUAACCGUUAUUAUUGGGUCUAAAGGGUCUGUAGCCGGCCGGAUAAGUCUCUUGAGAAAUCUGGCAGCUUAACUGUCAGGCUUUCAGGAGAUACUGUCUGGCUCGAGGCCGGGAGAGGUGAGAGGUACUUCAGGGGUAGGGGUGAAAUCUUGUAAUCCUUGAAGGACCACCAGUGGCGAAGGCGUCUCACCAGAACGGACCUGACGGCAAGGGACGAAAGCUAGGGGCACGAACCGGAUUAGAUACCCGGGUAGUCCUAGCCGUAAACGAUACUCGCUAGGUGUCGGCCACGGUGCGACCGUUGUCGGUGCCGUAGGGAAGCCG
rnacentral:rRNA from 1 species